rnacentral:rRNA from 1 species
GAUGAACGCUGGCGGCGUGCCUAACACAUGCAAGUCGAACGAAGUAUAUAUAGGAAGUCUUCGGAUGGAAUAUGUAUAACUUAGUGACGGACGGGUGAGUAACGCGUAAGUAAUCAACCUGUGACACACGGAUAACUGAUAGAAAUGUCAGCUAAUACGAGAUGAACUGUUUAAAUUGGGAAAUGGAAACAGCAAAGCGAAAGCGGUCACAGACGAGCUUGCGUCUGAUUAGCUAGUUGGUGGGGUAAGAGCCUACCAAGGCGACGAUCAGUAGCCGGCCUGAGAGGGUGAACGGCCACAUUGGAACUGAGACACGGUCCAAACUCCUACGGGAGGCAGCAGUGGGGGAUAUUGCACAAUGGGGGGAACCCUGAUGCAGCAACGCCGCGUGAGUGAAGAAGGCCCUAGGGUCGUAAAGCUCUGUCGUAUGGGAAGAAAAAAAUGACU